rnacentral:lncRNA from 1 species
CAGGGCUCAGUCACCAACUAUUCAUAAGAGGGUAAGGAGACAGAUGCAGGCAGGGAGCGGGAGGAGGGAAUGGGAAUGAGCUGAGCAGCAGCAUCACAGCUGGAGGACUGGACAUGGAUGACCAGCUCCUCACUUCCAGGUGUUUCCACAUCAAGCAUCCUGCAGACAGCUAACAAGUUCAUUCUACAAAGUACAGUUCUCACCACUUUAUCCUUCCUCUGCUCGGAAACAGUCAAUGGUUUCCCACUGUCCACAGGGGAUGCUUAACGCAUGUGGGUUAUGCAGCUAGAAAGACAAGGCACAACCUCUUUGGUCUCUGCCUCUUUUCAUGGCACAGACACCAAAAGCCAUCUCAUGGAUGACCAGACAACGUGGAGAAAAGAGCUCUCCUAGAAAGCCAAGGCCCAGAAGAGUGAGGAGAAGGCCUGUGUCCGGCAGGGUCUACUGAUUCUAAGCCUACGACAUACUGAGAAGAAAAUCAACUCUCUAUCAAGGAAUGUGAUAGAUGUGGGGUGAGCAGGGGAGGGGAGAAAAAAAAGUAGUGCUGGCAAUGCAGGAGGAAGGGAAGGGGAAGGGCGGUGACGAGGGGCAGAAGAGGAAAGGGGAAGUAGAGAGAGAAAACAAAUGUGGAACCAAAAAGGUAAAAUGUUGCCUUCCCAGAGGGUAAACAGCUCACCUGAACUUCAUUUCAACAUUGAACAUUUAGCUAAUGUCCAUUUUAUAAUCCUAAAAGUGUAUUUCUGAUAUGUUUUCAGAUCUUUUAUUUUAGAAUAGAUCACAGUUACAAUACAGUCUCACCUGCAAUCGA